AUUGAAACACUGGUUCCUGUACAAUCACUGAAGUUAAGCAAUGUCAAGCCUGGUCAGUAGAUAGAUGAGUGACCACUUGGGAAUACCAUGUGCUGUAAG